GACGAACGCUGGCGGCGUGCUUAACACAUGCAAGUCGAACGAGUGGCGGACGGGUGAGUAAUACAUGGGAACCUGCCCUUCUUUUGGGGAUAAGCCUUGGAAACGGGGUCUAAUACCGAAUAGAGGGGACUGGGCUUGCGGGGUAUCAGCGUGUUGGUGGGGUGAUGGCCUACCAAGGCGGCGUCGGGUAGCCGGCCUGAGAGGGUGAUCGGCCACAGUGGGACUGAGAUACGGCCCAGACUCCUACGGGAGGCAGCAGUGGGGAAUAUUGCACAAUGGGCGCAAGCCUGAUGCAGCCAUGCCGCGUGUAUGAAGAAGGCCUUAGGGUUGUAAAGUACUUUCAGCGGGGAGGCGUUACCCGCAGAAGAAGCACCGGCUAACUCCGUGCCAGCAGCCGCGGUAAUAC
rnacentral:rRNA from 1 species